UACAGAGGGGGCAAGCGUUGUUCGGAAUUACUGGGCGUAAAGCGUGCGUAGGCGGUUGCGCAAGACAGGUGUGAAAUCCCCGGGCUUAACCUGGGAAUUGCACUUGUGACUGUGCGGCUGGAGUGCGGCAGAGGGGGAUGGAAUUCCGCGUGUAGCAGUGAAAUGCGUAGAUAUGCGGAGGAACACCGAUGGCGAAGGCAGUCCCCUGGGCCUGCACUGACGCUCAUGCACGAAAGCGUGGGGAGCAAACAGG
rnacentral:rRNA from 1 species